rnacentral:rRNA from 1 species
AGUGAACGCUGGCGGUAGGCCUAACACAUGCAAGUCGAACGGCAGCACAGGAGAGCUUGCUCUCUGGGUGGCGAGUGGCGGACGGGUGAGGAAUACAUCGGAAUCUACCUAGUCGUGGGGGAUAACGUAGGGAAACUUACGCUAAUACCGCAUACGACCUUCGGGUGAAAGUGGGGGACCUUCGGGCCUCACGCGAUUAGAUGAGCCGAUGUCGGAUUAGCUAGUUGGAGGGGUAAUGGCCCACCAAGGCGACGAUCCGUAGCUGGUCUGAGAGGAUGAUCAGCCACACUGGAACUGAGACACGGUCCAGACUCCUACGGGAGGCAGCAGUGGGGAAUAUUGGACAAUGGGCGCAAGCCUGAUCCAGCCAUACCGCGUGGGUGAAGAAGGCCUUCGGGUUGUAAAGCCCUUUUGUUGGGAAAGAAAUCCUGUCGGUUAAUAACCGGUAGGGAUGACGGACCCAAAGAAUAAGC